UUUAUUAUCCAAGCUGUUCUCCUUUCGCAAGACAUAAUUCAAUAGAAUAUAGUAAAUCCUCUGGGAAGAGAAGUCCAUCAGAGAUUAAAUCCGGUAAUUCUAUAAAGACACGAUCGAGAUUCUGUUGAACAUCAGACGCAUUAAACGCGGUCUUCAAUUUUCAUUUAUCAUUGUCCGCGAAAAGACGAAACAAUCUGGCGUUAUUAACAGCAGGAACUGACAGUAUAUAAAGAAUCUUACUCAUACAUCCAUUGACGAAUCCAUCCAUUAUCACAUCCUGUACUCUUGAACGUACGUGAUUAAUUUUUUAAAAUAUAACGACAGUUAUCACGCUUAUCUGUGAAACAUACGCAUGCAUGUGUUUUAUUCUUUUACACUAAUCCAAGAGUUAUAUGAGCGACUAUCAAUCGUACAUGUCGCUUUAGUGAAAUCAGUGCAAUGUGAAGAGCUAAAAACUGAUGAACAAGAUCAAAAAAUAUUCUAGAGAUAUCCUUGAAGCUUUAUUACUACCUACAUAGACAAAGCCACGACUGAAAAAUAUUUACAGGUUAAUAACGCGAUCGAAGCAUGACUCAUAUAACGAUAAGCUUCGCAGUAAUCAGUUUCCAGCGAAUUUCGGUAAUGUCAAAAAUGACUCAUACACUCAUUUCCGUUGUCUGCCUAUUGCUCAAUAGGCUUAAUUUACACGAAAAAAAAAGAAAGUGAAAUCCCGUCAUGAAAACCUACAAUACGUAAACGAGAGAGAAGAGGAACCUAUGAUUUGCAUCGGCGAUAAAAUAAAAAAACUGCAGACACGCAAUCUGUAUGCACUGAGGCAAGACAGAACGUUCAACCCACACCGCGCAAAUGUCCCUGAGACGUCUGCAAGAUGUCUAUAUGACCACAGGUUGCCCGUAAGAGAUUCUUAAGAUGUAUCUACAUCCUGCGUGGAAUACUCAUCGUUGUCAUCGUUCUCUAUGAAUCAUCUUGAAACGUAUCAGACAACUAGAUAUCGCAUGGGAUUUUCUUUAACAGUAUGUAAAGGAUGACGUAUCGCAUACAUCGGAAAUGGCGUGACAACGAUUGACGGUCAAUAUCGAAACUUUUAACUCCGCGCGUGUAUCUGCAGCGUACAGCAGAUAUUUAUCUGGUACAUAACGCAGCACCAUCAGCAUUUUAUUACAUCAAACACGGACAAACGUGAAAUAAUCGGAAACGUGCAUCACUCGAUAUCCACAUGUAGCAGCAUGUCCACUUCCUUUGGACCUAGAGACAAUAACUUCAAUAAGGUUUAAUACAAAAAUUGGACUGGUAUUCUGGAGUCAGUGCUGUUUAUUUUCUGAUAAAUGAUAAAGCUUCCAUGCGAUGAAAUUAUGCGUGUUACAAGAGGUUUUAUAUAAGGGUAUUUGAUAAAGGAGGAAUUUUGUUAUUGAAUCAACGUCACUCCUUGAUAUUAUUCAAUCAGAAAAGGAUUAAUCCGUAAAUAACGAUCCAGUUAUCCAUUUUGUAGCGAGUAAUUAAUUACACCCUUAUACAUUGUUAAAUUUAUAUUACCCAUCGCGCACGCACAUAGUAAACGCUGCAUAGUACGAGGCUGGAAUUCUCUUUCUUUCGCAUAAUUUGCGAAAUUCCAUCAAGGAACUUUCUUGUCGAUCAAAAGACGAUCAAUGAGAUAAAGCGACUAUCUGGCGUAUCAUGUUAAACAAUAAAAUUCAAUAUUGUCCUGUGAAAGCUUUCCCUUUUAUGCAGGUUCAUUCAACUAUUUCCAAACGACAAUGAAAUUUAGUCCCAAAAAAAGUUGUCUAUCCACAGUCCUUCGCUUAACGAGCUCGUGCUAUUUGCUGUAAUAAAGUGCAAAAUAUUUUUACCAUCGUCACUGACAAUAACUUUUAUACCAAAAGUAUAUAAAAAUGGAAUGACGAUCUCUCCUUUCGCAGUAUUAUUAAUAAAUGCGAUUAUCGAUUAUAGUAUACAAGAACUCAUAAUCCUGCCAGGUCUUUCUACGUGGGUAAUGAAUAUUUUAGAAAUCAAGUCUGGAAUUUUCUUUCGUCGUUCACCGUCUGCCCUUACGAGAGACGUGCUUAUAUUCGUACGUUUCUUUUUUUCGUUUUACGAAAGACCUGCUUUCCUUCCAGAUGGAAAAUAAAGCAAAAUAAUAAUCGUACGUUUUUUUUUCCUUUUGUUUUUCAUAAGCGAGUCGUACCUUGUAAUCAUAUCAACUAUGCGACACACACACUAUUCUUCAUAGUCAAGGGCGGUCCAGUUUAUUUCCAUUGAAACGUCAACCAGCUGUUUGAUUAUUAUUAUCGCCCAAACCAAUUGUACGAAAAGCAGUUCGAUGUGCGAUUUUGAUAUAUUUUUUAACUUUAUAUGGAUACCAGACAGCUUUGCUUAGUGCUAAUGUACUGUAAAAAGUCGAAAAUGGCCUGUCGAAGCAUCACGUGUGUAAACAAACAAAUAUAUUGUACUAGAAUAUACCAAAAGUCAUUAGAAGUAAAAAACGUCUUAUGAAAUAGUAAUUUAUCAUGUGAACACAUAUGAUACGUAUUCAGUAGGCAUGUAAAAGGGAUCAAACAAGUACUUAGGAAUUGGAAACGUAUUCAUAAUUCAAUGGGUUAGCAUAUAGAUAUAGUACUCUGACCUACUUUGAUGUGUUGUUGUCAUAAUGCAGAAACCAAGCCGUUUACGUAAUUGUACGAAAAAGUAAACUAUAGCACAAGCACCUAUGUAUGUUCUGCGUAUAGUAAAGAUUCUACUAAGAAAUUCUCUAUAGGAUAGUGGUAUAUUCUUAUAAAGGGCAGAUCAAAGAGUAGGAGUCAGUCAGACAGACGAUAAUUCGAAUUGAUUAGAUUCUCAAGUCGAUCAAAGGAACGAGCCAAGUUGUGAUACUUAUAUCGUGGAGAAUCAAUUUCACGUCACGCAAGCCAUCGAAUGCCACUGUCAAUUUAUUAUGUUUUAUUGUAAGUCAUUGUUGAGGCAUUGUAUAGAGAAAUGGCGUAAAUCAUCAUUAAGAUACAAGUUUUUCGUGUUUACCUAAACAUUGUUUUUUUUUUUUCAAUACAAAAAUCGUAUAUAGUAAAUAAGACGCUACGUGCGAUUCAAUUAAUUAAAUAAAUUGUGUUUUAUGACA